CAGAACGAACGCUGGCGGCAGGCUUAACACAUGCAAGUUGAACGGUUGUAGCAAUACAGCAGUGGCAGACGGGUGAGUAACACGUGGGAACCUUCCUAGGGGUACGGAACAACUCAGGGAAACUUGAGCUAAUACCGUAUACGUCCGUGAGGAGAAAGAUUUAUCGCCCUUAGACGGGCCCGCGUCGGAUUAGCUAGUUGUGGGGUAACGGCCUACCAAGGCGACGAUCCGUAGCUGAUCUUAGAGGAUGAUCAGCCACACUGGGACUGAGACACGGCCCAGACUCCUACGGGAGGCAGCAGUGGGGAAUCUUGGACAAUGGGCGCAAGCCUGAUCCAGCCAUGCCGCGUGAGUGAAGAAGGUCUUCGGAUUGUAAAGCUCUUUUGCCAGGGACGAUAAUGACGGUACCUGGAGAAUAAGCCCCGGCAAACUUCGUG
rnacentral:rRNA from 1 species